UAAUGUCUGGGAAACUGCCUGAUGGAGGGGGGUAACUACUGGAAACGGUAGCUAAUACCGCAUAACGUCGCAAGACCGAAGUGGGGGACCUUCGGGCCUCAUGCCAUCAGAUGUGCCCAGAUGGGAUUAGCUAGUAGGUGGGGUAAUGGCUCACCUAGGCGACGAUCCCUAGCUGGUCUGAGAGGAUGACCAGCCACACUGGAACUGAGACACGGCCAG
rnacentral:rRNA from 1 species